rnacentral:lncRNA from 1 species
UUCGCCAUUGAACAGAGCAUGCUUCACUUAGUCUAAUUUCAUGUGUAACUCAAAAAAAAUUUUUUGGUUCAUACGGCGUUUUUUCCUUACCACGGCAGUGUUGCAUGAAUGAAGCCAAUCGCUCUCAGAGAACCUAGAUUACUCGGAAUGGGCCUGUUGCAUGCAAGAGAUACAGCCGUGCGAAUAGACUUCUUAGAGGUUAAAUGACACGAAAAUUACGAUGGUCACAUUAAAAAAGUCUGAAAUACACUCCACACUGCGCAAUUUGCGUUGUUAGGAACGCGCUUUUUCAAAUUUCCCGCGUCUGGGGGCAGUUUUCUAAUCACCGGAAACGAGCGAACGGCGGCUCGGUGAUUCCCGGAAGAUGCCGAGUCGUUGUUGUUGUUGUUUUUUCCUUCCGUUUGUUUACAAACCCACGUGAUCUCUCAUAGUGGUCCACAUACGCCUUACGCACUAACUAAAUAAAUCAACUUUUUAAUAUCCAACGCAAUCCUUCUACAUUUUAUUUCACGAUAUCACGAUCUCCGAUUUUCAGGUUAUGUUGUUAGUUUUAGUUGACCGGAAAUAGCCGCGAGUUGCCGUUACUUGCUUCCGUUAGAAAACUGCCCCUAGACGCGGAAAUUUGAAAAAGCGCGUUCCUAACAACACAAAUUGCGCAGUGAGGAGUGUAUUUCAGACUUUUUAAUGUGACCAUCGUAAUUUUCGUGUCAUUUAACCUCUAAAAGGCCUAUUUGUACAGCUGUAUCUCUUGCAUGCAACAGGCCCAUUUUCAACAUGAUUUCUGUAGCAAAUAUUUAUGAACUACAUCUUCUCUGUUUUUAUCAGACUCUUAUGAAUGGAGCCACUAUAACCUGAUAUCCUUUGCUGUUGCCAAUAACCGCUUAUCCAGUAAAGCAAAGCACUGGGGUUAUGAUGUUUCCAAUGCCUGUAAAUUUAGUGCUAGUCCUUGGUGUUACCUCUCACGUGAAAAAUGUUACCAACAAUGGGCAGAAUUGCAAUUUUGAAUACAAAGCUGAAUUUCAGGGUUUAUUCGUGUUUGUUGAAAAGACUGAUUUUAAAGACAAUGUGAUAAUCUCUUGGAGUUUUUAGACAUAUGUAGUGAAUGUGAUCUUACUUUAAGUGCUCAUUUUCUCUCUUGGUACUUACAUCCUCUCGGGAAUUUUAUACAUAUAAGUACAAGACAUUUUUACCUGCAAAUCUAUAUUCUUCUUCACUCAGAAUAAAACUUUUAGUACUAUUAAUUUUCUUUCUCAUUUAAUUAUGGGUAUGCUGCAUUUUUUUGUUCCCCUCGUUUUUCUAGAGGUACCCAAAUGACUUGCAAGGAUCCCGCACACCCCAUGGGAAAGUGCACCAUGAUCGAUUUUUAAUUUUUUAUUGCACUCAACUCCUCUCAAGAUGCUGAUCUAAGUCAUCAUUGUACCAACUUUCUACGAUGCACUGUUUUUGCACAACACGCCCGGAAAAUUUCAAUUAUUCAGCAAUAAAUAGUCAAAAGGAGAACAGUAUGCAUGCGUGGAUGUGCAUUCGAGAAUAGGCCUGCUGUAAAUAAGGAAAACGUAGCGCGUCUGUCUUCUUAUUUGUUCCUAUCUACUCAGGGGCUACCGCUACCUCCCUCCUGCUCUCGUCCGUUUGAUGUUCACUGUUUUUCUCCGACUUCCCUCUUCUUAUACUCUUCACUAAUCUGAUUUGGAUGGUCAAGCAAACAGGCGUGCAGAAUCCGAGAUAAGACUGCCGCUAGGUGCUGGAGUUCCCCUGAUUUCCUCGUUGGCACACAGCCAACCGUUCUCUUGAGUGCUGAAAUGAGGAAUCUUUCUGGCUCUUUAUCGCGGAAUAAUUAAAGCAUUCCGGGCGUAUUGUGCAAAAAACGGUGCAUUGUAGAAAUUUGGCGCAAUGAUGACUUUAGAUCAGCAUCUUGAAAGGAAUUGAAUGCAAUAAAAAAAUUAAAAAUCGUUCAUGAUGCACCUCCCCAUGAGGAGUGUGCGGGGUCCAAAAAGGUAUUCCCACGACAUGUCAAUGGGGUAGUUGCAUGAAAUUUUUUUAAUUCAAUUUCUAAAAGUUUGAGGUCUACUGAGUGUUGAGGUAUUUUUAAAAAAUUUACC